GAGUUUGAUCGUGGCUCAGGAUGAACGCUAGCGGCAGGCUUAAUACAUGCAAGUCGUGGGGCAGCAUGGUGUAGCAAUACACUGAUGGCGACCGGCAAACGGGUGCGGAACACGUACGCAACCUUCCUUUAAGUGGUGAAUAGCUUUCGGAAACGAAAAUUAAUACACCGUAACAUUAUGAAGUGGCAUCAUUUUAUAAUUAUAGCUCCGGCGCUUAAAGAUGGGCGUGCGUCUGAUUAGGUAGUUGGCGGGGUAACGGCCCACCAAGCCUGCGAUCAGUAACUGGUGUGAGAGCACGACCAGUCACACGGGCACUGAGACACGGGCCCGACUCCUACGGGAGGCAGCAGUAAGGAUAUUGGUCAAUGGACGCAAGUCUGAACCAGCCAUGCCGCGUGGAGGAUGAAGGUCCUCUGGAUUGUAAACUUCUUUUAUCUGGGACGAAAAAAGGCCUUUCUAGGUCGUCUGACGGUACCAGAUGAAUAAGC
rnacentral:rRNA from 1 species